rnacentral:tRNA from 1 species
GGCCCCAUCGUCUAGGGGACUAGGACGCCAGCCUUUCAAGCUGGUAACACGGGUUCGAAUCCCGUUGGGGCUACCA